rfam:Schistosoma rodhaini strain Burundi genome assembly, scaffold: SROB_scaffold0004276
AUUCAGCUGACGAGUCCCAAAUAGGACGAAACACGCGUCCUGGAU